GGAAGAUGUUAGCUCAGUGUUACAUUUCCGGAAACUGAAGCUCAGAGGGGGCAAAUCAUUUGUCCAAGCCUGCACAGCUCAGGAGAAAAGCAUACCAGAGUCACAUCUAUGUGAAGGGAAUCACCCUUCCCACAGAUCCUGGCGCUGUCAUCAGAGAGCACGCACACGUGAGGCCUCAGAGUAGGAACUCACGAUGGAUGUUUCAGUUGAUUAUUCUGUGUUAACUUCCAGCAUAUGCAUGCCUGGACAGCUAUAAAACACCCCAUGUAUGUUUUAUCAUUACAAUUAAUAUUGUUUAAUUUGUAAUUACGCUUACCUUUUUAAAAAUAUUUGGGAAAGUAAAUAGAAUUAGCUAUAAUUUUAUGUUUUGCAUUGUCGUAAUUAUUCUAUAUGCUCCCAUUAUCCAGACGUUAGAGCCUGAGAAAUUUUUUAAACGUGUUGGUCAAUAUGAAAGAAAAAACCAACUCCCAAAUCUAUCUGCCCAUCAGGCAUCAUGGCAGCAGAACAAAAAGUAUGUUAAAAUAAUUAAAUAAGUGCAAGGCAAAGGGUGAGAGAAAACACCAUCUGGAGCUCUCUGCGAGUCAUUUAGGAGUGAGCUGGAAGAUAAUGAAGGCCAUUGCAUUCUGGUCAUGGAUGGGCCCUUCUGCUUGGCUGAUGUUCCAGCUUUACUCCGAAUAAAAAUAGCCCAUGCAUCCUUUACUGCAGCUUGGUAAACACAGUCUAUGUGCAUAAAAAUAAAAGAACGCACAACAAAAUCUUUGGCGAGGUUGGCCACAAUUUAUUUUUGUUUCCUAGGGUACCCAUGAAUUUCGGUACAAUCAACAGUUUAAUCAGAACAGCCAGGCAUUUGUUUUCUGGCAGUUUAUAGUCAGUUUUGUACUAUUUUCCUGGGGGGACCUGACCAUAUAAAGUGCUCAUCAGAGCCACGAAGCAAUCUUCAGAUUCGAAGCAGUGGGGUGGACUGAGGGCGGUCCUGGUGUGCAGUCACAAAGGUGCACAGUUAGGAUUGGCCACCUCUGACCUCUGAGGACAAUGAGUCUUCCCCAGGCUUGGUUUUACUACAGCAAAAUGGUGAUGCUAAUAACUUGUAAUGUGUAAGUGUGAAGGGAUGAGAGAUGAGAAAAUGUUCUUUUAAUUAGAAAUGCUUUGUAGAUACUCUUUACUAAGCCACUUUUGAAGGACACUGUCACAUUGGGACUUUAAAAUGAAAUUUAAAAUAGUAUGGAAAACUAAACAUGACUUGAUCCUAGCCAGCUGAAAUUAUUCAAAUUUUAGGGAAUUUCUUGAAUUUUGAGAAAAUUGCUUACAUUUUAGCACCUUAGUUUUCUUGUCUGUAAAAUAGAGAUAAUAAUAUACUGAGCUGACAGGUUGAUACCAAGGAUAUGAUGAGAGAGGAGAUGGCCUGGGGAAGACAGCCCCUGGUGUGGUGUAAUUACUCGCUGCUAUUGUUAUAAUUUUGGGGGAGAUGUACCAGGGAUCACACUCAUGACCUCCUGCCUGGCAGGCAGGCGCCAUGCCGCUGAGCUAUGUCCCCAGCCCUGCAAGCAGUUACACACACAAGUGAGGGCAUCAUCAUGGAAAACGGGCCUGCUUUCAAGUCUGAGCUGUGGACACCGUGCUUUGGAGGCUGUAGCAGACCCUGGCAUGCUGCUGGACUCCUGGGGCCCCUCUGCUCCGGAGUCUACUGGAGGGGAUGACACUGCACACGUCCUGCUUGAGCUGCCGGUAUUGGCUCUUGCUGCUUCCUUUGAUCAGUGGCUGAUAAAAUCUCUCUUGAGCUUUUGGGAGCUAAUGAAAACAAUGUGCCUGGGUUAGGUCUUCAAAAAACUUGAUUUUGGCACUAUCAUACUGUUAAUAUCCAUUAGGACAUUUUGAAACAUGUGCACAAGGCCUUCGAUACAUGGAAUUCUUUGUAAUGAAUACUUCCAAAACCUUAAAACAAGAGUUCUGUUCUGUGCAAAUAAGGCUCCUGCUGAUGGAUGCACAUGAAGUGGGUAAAAUUCUACGAAUUUUUCUCUGCCAUGUUCAUGCAGUGAAGAUAUUCAUCUGAGCUAAAAAAUAAAAGAUCGUUGCAAUGCACUGACUGGGAGUUGGCCUCGCAAUAACCUUUUGAAGAAGGAAAGUCUGCAACAUAAUGGUUAAAUAAAAGCCUCUGGAUUCCUACAGCUCACAUUUAAAGCUUCACUCUGUCACUACUGGUUGACAGUCUUGUGAAAUUUACUCACCAGUGAUGUGCCUUAGUAUCCUCAUCAGUGCUACUGGGGUGAUAAUGAUCACACCUUCCUCAUGAAACUAUGAAGAUGCAUGAUACGUGUUCAACACUGCUCCUGGCACAAAGCCUGGGAUCAGGAACAGCUAAUUCUGCAUUUAAUUAUUAGAAUACAAAAGGCACCCCUUGUUCCAAAGAACAGAAAAAUAUCAAAAGUCUACUUCUUCCUAAAGGACUGAGAGAGAGAACAUUCUCUGAAGAAUAGUUUUUAACCUGUUUAGUGGCAUCAGCUACAACAAAGCAAGAACUUGAAAGACAUAUGACGGGCUAGGACUCAGUGCUAAAUCUAUAGAGAACUGCAAGACAUUACCACUGCCUUUGGAUCUGUUAAUGCUCAGUGCGUAGGGCUGUGAAGACUCCAGCAUCAACUGCUUCGGGGAUCUGCCUCUGGGAUGAUCUUUCAGAGGAGUUAAUCAUAAACUAAACUGUGAGGUUCAGAAUGAACAGAGAAGAGAUUUUACCUCGUAAGAAUGUAUGAGAACUGCUGGAAAUACAAAGUAUGGAGAUCUUGAAUACUAAGUUCAUUGGAGUAUAAACAGAAGUUUAUAAUCAAGAACUAUGAAAAUGGUGUUAAGGCCGAUUCAGCUUCACAUGGGAUUUAUGAGUGUCAUGAAUACAUCAAUGCAGACAGAUGAUGAGUCCAGGGAAGCAUCAGCAGACCAUCCAGGGGAAGAUGAAGCCAGCUCAAAGGUGGUGGCGGUGCUGAAGGAAGAGAGAGGAAUGCAGGGCCGUCAUGCACACUAACUGUUGGUGACAGCUGAUUGCUCAAAAGCACCCUGAUGAGAGUGAGUGUGAGCACUGUGGCCUUUUGAGCAAGAGUAAUUAUGACAGCAAAAAUGCUAUACUAAAACUAUAAGCUAACUUGGAAGAGUUCCGGUUUGGGGAGAUGCUGUGAUUUGAAUGUUGAGAUAUGAUUGCCAUUAAAUAUUCAGAGGUGGUUAUUUAAAGGAUGGUUGAGACCUAGAGACUCCCCCAUCAUGAUGGAACUGAUGUCACUGUAAAAGGAUUAGUUUGGAAAAAUAAAUAAUGAAAAUAAAAAUAAAAA